CCUACGGGAGGCAGCAGUGGGGAAUAUUGCACAAUGGGGGAAACCCUGAUGCAGCGACGCCGCGUGAGUGAAGAAGUAUUUCGGUAUGUAAAGCUCUAUCAGCAGGGAAGAAGAAAGACGGUACCUGACUAAGAAGCCCCGGCUAACUACGUGCCAGCAGCCGCGGCAAUACGUAGGGGGCAAGCGUUAUCCGGAUUUACUGGGUGUAAAGGGAGCGUAGACGGCUGUGCAAGUCUGAAGUGAAAGCCCAGGGCUCAACCCUGGGACUGCUUUGGAAACUGUGGAGCUAGAGUGCUGGAGAGGUGAGUGGAAGUCCUAGUGUAGCGGUGAAAUGCGUAGAUAUUAGGAGGAACACCAGUGGCGAAGGCGACUUACUGGACAGUAACUGACGUUGAGGCUCGAAAGCGUGGGGAGCAAACAGGAUUAGAUACCCGUGUAGUC
rnacentral:rRNA from 1 species